AGAAAUCAACCGAGAUUCCCCCAGUAGCGGCGAGCGAACGGGGAGCAGCCCAGAGUCUGAAUCAGCUUGUGUGUUAGUGGAACGGUCUGGAAAGUCCGACGGUACAGGGUGAUAGUCCCGUACACCAAAAUGCACAGGUUGUGAACUCGAAGAGUAGGGCGGGACACGUGGUAUCCUGUCUGAAUAUGGGGGGACCAUCCUCCAAGGCUAAAUACUCCUGACUGACCGAUAGUGAACCAGUACCGUGAGGGAAAGGCGAAAAGAACCCCGGCGAGGG
rnacentral:rRNA from 1 species